UGGUUCUCGAUUCUUCAUUUCCCUUGUUGUCGAUUCCAGUUCCAAAAUAAGCAUAGCCUCCUCCCUUUUGGAACUUUUCAUCGUCGCCGUCCUCUUCAUCGAUUCAAGACCCAUUCAAGAAAUCCUUCUAGUCUGGCUUGACCCUUUGUCUUCCAGUCCUCAUCGAACGCACAACAUAUUCAAGCACAAUCCCCACUAGGUAAACCUCAUCCCCUCUUUUUAAACUUUCAGUUACUAUUGUAUGAGCUACUAAAUCGUCAUUCUUAGGAUAUGUCUGAACCAAAUACCUUGAAAACUCCAUUUGUUCUGCUGAAUGUCUCUAAUAUAAGCCCUUAUUACUGAUUUAUACGGGUCUUUCAACUGACAUUUCUUUAUUAUUGUUAAUACGUCGCCCUCGAUUACCACUGUCGACAAUCCCAUGUUCACCCCCAAUUGCACCACCUGAGAACAUGCAAGAGCCUCAGCUACAAACGAAGACGCUACAUCCUUAUGAAGGACCAAUUUCGAGGCCAGAACCUCUCCUCAUUUCUGACUACCAUUCCCAAUCCCAAUCUAAACUUUUGGGGGUCCUAAGCUGCAUCAAAAUUAAUCUUGAUGGUUGUAUUGUUUGGAGGACUCCAUUCAGUGGCUAAAUAUCCCUUUGUUACCCAUAUUGCACAGCAAAACAAGCGACAUUGGUUGAUUGAACACCUCCUGAAAGCCCAGGGCACUCAUGGAACACAUGAUCAAGACUCUCCACAUCCCUCCCACAUAUGGGACACAGUGUAUUCACCACUAGUCUUUUAUAAUUUAGAUUAGUUAGAGUAGGCAAAAAGUUCCAUGAAAUUUUUCAGACUGUAAUUUUUUGUAUUGCAGAUAGAUUUAGACUCCAAAGUUUCCUGUAAAAAGUUUUGGAAUCAUUCUAAAAACCAAUAGCAUUAGGAUCUGUAUUAGCUACUAAUAGUAGUUUAUAUCCACUUCGAUAGGGGUGUGCAAAUUUCGGGUAAAAUCGAAUUAAUUUCAUUAACCAACCAAAUUCGAUUAAUUGGUCGGUUGACUGAAUUAAUUCGAUCGGGGGCCAGUUAAUAAUUUUUUGGAA